UGCGUAGGCGGGCAAUUAAGUCAGAGGUGAAAUCCCACAGCUCAACUGUGGAACUGCCUUUGAUACUGGUUGUCUUGAGUUACAGUGAAGUAGAUAGAAUAUGUAGUGUAGCGGUGAAAUGCAUAGAUAUUACAUAGAAUACCGAUUGCGAAGGCAGUCUACUAACUGUAUACUGACGCUAAUGGACGAAAGCGUGGGGAGCGAACAGGAUUAGAUACCCUGGUAGUCC
rnacentral:rRNA from 1 species